GGGUGCUCCCACAAUGUGGUUGGAUUCCAACAUCUGCCAAGAUGGGAUUCGAACCAGGACUUCAGUCGUUUGUUUUAAUAUUUUGGAUAAAAGUUAAAUACAUUAGGUGGACAUUCAGAUGGUAAUCUCAGUAAAUAUUCUGCCAAACUCUGAAUUACUCAAUACAUCAGGAUCUGGAUAUUUGCAUUGUGUGUGUGUGUGAUGAGGGUGUCACUGACUGGGCCCAAAGGGCAGUAAAGAGUCAACCACAUUGCUGUGGGUCUGGAGUCACAUGUAGGCCAGACCAGCACAACCAGAACUGGGCACAGUAUUCCAGAAGAGAAUUCCC